rnacentral:rRNA from 1 species
UACGUAGGUGGCAAGCGUUGUCCGGAUUUACUGGGCGUAAAGAGCGCGCAGGCGGUCGUUUAAGUCGAAUGUGAAAGCCCCCGGCUCAACUGGGGAGGGUCAUUCGAUACUGAUCGACUUGAAGGCAGGAGAGGGAAGUGGAAUUCCGGGUGUAGUGGUGAGAUGCGUAGAUAUCCGGAGGAACACCAGUGGCGAAGGCGACUUCCUGGCCUGUUCUUGACGCUGAGGCGCGAAAGCUGGGGGAGCAAACGGG